UACGUAGGGUGCAAGCGUUGUCCGGAAUUAUUGGGCGUAAAGAGCUCGUAGGCGGUUUGUCGCGUCUGCUGUGAAAAUCCAGGGCUUAACCCUGGACCUGCAGUGGGUACGGGCAGACUAGAGUGCGGUAGGGGAGAUCGGAAUUCCUGGUGUAGCGGUGAAAUACGUAGAGAUUGGGAAGAACACCAGUGGCGAAGGCGGCUAUCUGGACGGUUUCUGACGCUAAGACGCGAAAGCGUGGGGAGCAAACAGG
rnacentral:rRNA from 1 species